UACAGAGGUCUCAAGCGUUGUUCGGAUUCAUUGGGCGUAAAGGGUGCGUAGGUGGUGAGGUAAGUUUGAUGUGAAAUCUCCGGGCUCAACCCGGAAAUGGCAUUGAAUACUAUCUUGCUAGAGGAGUGGAGGGGGGACUGGAAUACUUGGUGUAGCAGUGAAAUGCGUAGAUAUCAAGUGGAACACCAGUGGCGAAGGCGAGUCCCUGGACACUUCCUGACACUGAGGCACGAAAGCUAGGGGAGCAAACAGG
rnacentral:rRNA from 1 species